UAUUGGACAAUGGGCGCAAGCCUGAUCCAGCCAUGCCGCGUGAGUGAUGAAGGCCUUAGGGUUGUAAAGCUCUUUUAGCGGAGACGAUAAUGACGGUAUCCGCAGAAAAAGCCCCGGCCAACUUCGUGCCAGCAGCCGCGGUAAUACGAAGGGGGCUAGUGUUGCUCGGAAUCACUGGGCGUAAAGCGCACGUAGGUGGGUCGUUAAGUCGGGGGUGAAAUCCCGGAGCUCAACUCCGGAACUGCCUUCGAUACUGGCGACCUUCGAGUCCGGGAGAGGUGAGUGGAACUGCGAGUGUAGAGGUGAAAUUCGUAGAUAUUCGCAAGAACACCAGUGGCGAAGGCGGCUCACGGCCCGGUACGACACGAGGGCGAAG
rnacentral:rRNA from 1 species